AGAAUCAACGCUGGCGGCGUGCCUAACACAUGCAAGUCGAACGCGAAAGGGACUUCGGUCCUGAGUAGAGUGGCGAACGGGUGAGUAACGCGUGGGUGACCUACCCUCGAGUGGGGGAUAACGUUCCGAAAGGGACGCUAAUACCGCAUGACAUUCCGGGUUUGAAGACCUGGAAAUCAAAGCCGGGGACCGCAAGGCCUGGCGCUAGAGGAGGGGCCCGCGUCUGAUUAGCUAGUUGGCGGGUAAUGGCCCACCAAGGCGACGAUCAGUAGCCGGCCUGAGAGGGCGGACGGCCACACGUGGGACUGAGACACGGCCCAGACCUCCGUACGGGAGGCAGCAGGUGGGGAAUUGGUUCGCAAGUGGGCGACAAGGCCUAGACGGACCGCGAACCCGGCCGGCGGUGGGAAGG
rnacentral:rRNA from 1 species